CCUACGGGAGGCAGCAGUGGGGGAUAUUGCACAAUGGGGGAAACCCUGAUGCAGCGACGCCGCGUGAGUGAAGAAGUAUUUCGGUAUGUAAAGCUCUAUCAGCAGGGAAGAAAAUGACGGUACCUGAUUAAGAAGCCCCGGCUAACUACGUGCCAGCAGCCGCGGUAAUACGUAGGGGGCAAGCGUUAUCCGGAUUUACUGGGUGUAAAGGGGGCGUAGACGGCAGCACAAGUCUGGAGUGAAAUGCCGGGGCUUAACCCCGGAACUGCUUUGGAAACUGUGCAGCUAGAGUGCAGGAGAGGUAAGUGGAAUUCCUAGUGUAGCGGUGAAAUGCGUAGAUAUUAGGAGGAACACCAGUGGCGAAGGCGGCUUACUGGACUGUAACUGACGUUGAGGCCCGAAAGCGUGGGGAGCAAACAGGAUUAGAUACCCGUGUAGUC
rnacentral:rRNA from 1 species